AUUGUUUUGUUGUAGGAUUGAAAGAAAGCAAACAUUGUUCCUUCAGAUGUAGAACUCUACAUGUGGUUCAAUUUCCCGAUGACGCUUUUUUGAUGUAUGAAGAUGAUGAUUCCUUGACGUAUCGAGCAUUGUAUUCGUUUUCAAAAGAUAGAUCACCAGUCGAUUUCCUUACAUUCUUCCAAAAUACGGUGGGAUAAAAUUUGGAGAAGCCAGGAAUUAGUUUCAUGACCAGUUUUGUCGUGAAGUGUCUUUGGUCGAGUGGAUGUUGAAGUCUCACCAUAAUAUGUCACCUACGUAACAGUAGCCGGAGAAAUUGAUAUGUGCCAACCUAUGUAUGGUUGUUUAUAUAGCAAAACAAUACAGGGGAUGUCGCCUCGCCCACAUGACCUUUUGCAUGUCAACUUCAUACAUCAAAUUUUGAUGUGGCUAUGUGCAUAAAAUGAUAGCAGACUUUGGUAUUCAUUUUCCGCUUUACUGACCAACAAUUUUGAGACCUAAAA